UUCGUUGGGGUGCCCGAUAAACCGGGCUGAGAGAUGUUCAUCAACCCAUGGAACCUGAUCCGGUUGGUACCGGCGUAGGAAACGGAU
rnacentral:ncRNA from 1 species